GACGAACGCUGGCGGCGUGCUUAACACAUGCGAGUCGAACGGAAAGGCCCCUUUGGGGGUACUCGAGUGGCGAACGGGUGAGUAACACGUGAGUAACCUGCCCUUGACUUCGGGAUAACUUCAGGAAACUGGGGCUAAUACCGGAUAGGAAUCCUUGCUGCAUGGUGGGGGUUGGAAAGCUUCGGCGGUUUUGGAUGGACUCGCGACUUAUCAGCUUGUUGGUGGGGUAGUGGCUUACCAAGGCUUUGACGGGUAGCCGGCCUGAGAGGGCGACCGGCCACAUUGGGACUGAGAUACGGCCCAGACUCCUACGGGAGGCAGCAGUGGGGAAUAUUGCACAAUGGGCGGAAGCCUGAUGCAGCAACGCCGCGUGCGGGAUGACGGCCUUCGGGUUGUAAACCGCUUUCAGCAGGGGCGAAGCUUGUGGUGACGGUACCUGCAGAAGAAGCACCGGCUAACUACGUG
rnacentral:rRNA from 1 species